UCCUCAAGAGCAAACCGCCGGAAAUCAUCACCAGCAAUCGCCGGAAACCGUCACAGAGAGAUGGGAACAUCAGAAACAGCCUCUGCAAAAUACAGAGUUCAGUCCUACAGAGCUACCGUCGCAGAUCAUGAUAGAAAGGUGAGGGAGCUUUCUUCCAUUAUCUUCAUCAUUUUCUUUUUGGAAACCCUGGCACCGG